GCACCAUGACUUGAUUUUCUAGGCAGAUUUUGGGUCUGGCUGCCCCAAUCAGAUUUUCUAAGCAUGCUGCACAAACCAGUCACGUUUUUUUUACCUCUUUUGGCCAUGCAUUGGACAUUCACUCACUUAAGUUUGACCCAAAAUAACAACAUUUUACACCUCACUUCACACUUUUAUUCUUAUGGAUAAAUCACUUAUUAAAAAGCUCAUGAGAACAC
rnacentral:lncRNA from 1 species